GGGUUGUGAGGUUAAGCGACUAAGCGUACACGGUGGAUGCCCUGGCAGUCAGAGGCGAUGAAGGACGUGCUAAUCUGCGAAAAGCGUCGGUAAGGUGAUAUGAACCGUUAUAACCGGCGAUGUCCGAAUGGGGAAACCCAGUGUGAUUCGUCACACUAUCGUUAACUGAAUACAUAGGUUAACGAGGCGAACCGGGGGAACUGAAACAUCUAAGUACCCCGAGGAAAAGAAAUCAACCGAGAUUCCCCCAGUAGCGGCGAGCGAACGGGGAGCAGCCCAGAGUCUGAAUCAGCUUGUGUGUUAGUGGAACGGUCUGGAAAGUCCGACGGUACAGGGUGAUAGUCCCGUACACCAAAAUGCACAGGCUGUGAACUCGAAGAGUAGGGCGGGACACGUGGUAUCCUGUCUGAAUAUGGGGGGACCAUCCUCCAAGGCUAAAUACUCCUGACUGACCGAUAGUGAACCAGUACCGUGAGGGAAAGGCGAAAAGAACCCCGGCGAGGGGAGUGAAAAAGAACCUGAAACCGUGUACGUACAAGCAGUGGGAGCACCUUCGGGUGUGACUGCGUACCUUUUGUAUAAUGGGUCAGCGACUUAUAUUCUGUAGCAAGGUUAACCGUAUAGGGGAGCCGCAGGGAAACCGAGUCUUAACUGGGCGUUAAGUUGCAGGGUAUAGACCCGAAACCCGGUGAUCUAGCCAUGGGCAGGUUGAAGGUUGGGUAACACUAACUGGAGGACCGAACCGACUAAUGUUGAAAAAUUAGCGGAUGACUUGUGGCUGGGGGUGAAAGGCCAAUCAAACCGGGAGAUAGCUGGUUCUCCCCGAAAGCUAUUUAGGUAGCGCCUCGUGAAUUCAUCUUCGGGGGUAGAGCACUGUUUCGGCUAGGGGGUCAUCCCGACUUACCAACCCGAUGCAAACUACGAAUACCGAAGAAUGUUAUCACGGGAGACACACGGCGGGUGCUAACGUCCGUCGUGAAGAGGGAAACAACCCAGACCGCCAGCUAAGGUCCCAAAGUCAUGGUUAAGUGGGAAACGAUGUGGGAAGGCACAGACAGCCAGGAUGUUGGCUUAGAAGCAGCCAUCAUUUAAAGAAAGCGUAAUAGCUCACUGGUCGAGUCGGCCUGCGCGGAAGAUGUAACGGGGCUAAACCAUGCACCGAAGCUGCGGCAGCGACACUAUGUGUUGUUGGGUAGGGGAGCGUUCUGUAAGCCUGCGAAGGUGACCUGUGAGGGUUGCUGGAGGUAUCAGAAGUGCGAAUGCUGACAUAAGUAACGAUAAAGCGGGUGAAAAGCCCGCUCGCCGGAAGACCAAGGGUUCCUGUCCAACGUUAAUCGGGGCAGGGUGAGUCGACCCCUAAGGCGAGGCCGAAAGGCGUAGUCGAUGGGAAACAGGUUAAUAUUCCUGUACUUGGUGUUACUGCGAAGGGGGGACGGAGAAGGCUAUGUUAGCCGGGCGACGGUUGUCCCGGUUUAAGCAUGUAGGCUGGUUGUCCAGGCAAAUCCGGAUAAUCAAGGCUGAGGUGUGAUGACGAGGCACUACGGUGCUGAAGUAACAAAUGCCCUGCUUCCAGGAAAAGCCUCUAAGCAUCAGGUAACAUCAAAUCGUACCCCAAACCGACACAGGUGGUCAGGUAGAGAAUACCAAGGCGCUUGAGAGAACUCGGGUGAAGGAACUAGGCAAAAUGGUGCCGUAACUUCGGGAGAAGGCACGCUGGUGUGUAGGUGAAGCCCCUGCGGGUGGAGCUGAGACCAGUCGAAGAUACCAGCUGGCUGCAACUGUUUAUUAAAAACACAGCACUGUGCAAACACGAAAGUGGACGUAUACGGUGUGACGCCUGCCCGGUGCCGGAAGGUUAAUUGAUGGGGUUAUCCGUAAGGAGAAGCUCUUGAUCGAAGCCCCGGUAAACGGCGGCCGUAACUAUAACGGUCCUAAGGUAGCGAAAUUCCUUGUCGGGUAAGUUCCGACCUGCACGAAUGGCGUAAUGAUGGCCAGGCUGUCUCCACCCGAGACUCAGUGAAAUUGAACUCGCUGUGAAGAUGCAGUGUACCCGCGGCAAGACGGAAAGACCCCGUGAACCUUUACUAUAGCUUGACACUGAACAUUGAGCCUUGAUGUGUAGGAUAGGUGGGAGGCUUUGAAGCGUGGACGCCAGUCUGCGUGGAGCCAACCUUGAAAUACCACCCUUUAAUGUUUGAUGUUCUAACGUUGGCCCCUGACCGGGGUUGCGGACAGUGUCUGGUGGGUAGUUUGACUGGGGCGGUCUCCUCCCAAAGCGUAACGGAGGAGCACGAAGGUUAGCUAAUCCUGGUCGGACAUCAGGAGGUUAGUGCAAUGGCAUAAGCUAGCUUGACUGCGAGCGUGACGGCGCGAGCAGGUGCGAAAGCAGGUCAUAGUGAUCCGGUGGUUCUGAAUGGAAGGGCCAUCGCUCAACGGAUAAAAGGUACUCCGGGGAUAACAGGCUGAUACCGCCCAAGAGUUCAUAUCGACGGCGGUGUUUGGCACCUCGAUGUCGGCUCAUCACAUCCUGGGGCUGAAGUAGGUCCCAAGGGUAUGGCUGUUCGCCAUUUAAAGUGGUACGCGAGCUGGGUUUAGAACGUCGUGAGACAGUUCGGUCCCUAUCUGCCGUGGGCGCUGGAGAAUUGAGGGGGGCUGCUCCUAGUACGAGAGGACCGGAGUGGACGCAUCACUGGUGUUCGGGUUGUCAUGCCAAUGGCACUGCCCGGUAGCUAAAUGCGGAAGAGAUAAGUGCUGAAAGCAUCUAAGCACGAAACUUGCCCCGAGAUGAGUUCUCCCUGAGACUUUAAGUCUCCUGAAGGAACGUUGAAGACGACGACGUUGAUAGGCCGGGUGUGUAAGCGCAGCGAUGCGUUGAGCUAACCGGUACUAAUGAACCGUGAGGCUUAACCUUACAACGCCGAAG
rnacentral:rRNA from 1 species